rnacentral:rRNA from 1 species
UACGGAGGGUGCAAACGUUGCUCGGAAUCAUUGGGCGUAAAGCGUGUGUAGGCGGCUUGUUAAGUCGGGUGUGAAAGCCCUGGGCUCAACCCAGGAAGUGCACUCGAAACUGGCGAGCUUGAGUACGGGAGAGGGUCGCGGAAUUCCCGGUGUAGAGGUGAAAUUCGUAGAUAUCGGGAGGAACACCAGUGGCGAAGGCGGCGACCUGGACCGAUACUGACGCUGAGACACGAAAGCGUGGGGAGCAAACAGG